rnacentral:sRNA from 1 species
GUCCUAACAUAAACCUAAAUAAUACCAUGCUCUGAUGAGUGGUAUUGUGGCAGGCCACGAGGUGCUGUGGGAACACAAAUCUGGCCAAGUUUGCCAGAAAAUGAGAGUCAAUUCAUGAAAAGCAGGUGAUACAGUCAAGGUGAUCUUUUUUAUCAUUGAACAUUUGUCAGCUAAUCAUAAACUUUUAUUUAUUGUGAUUAUUAUAUCAAAUAAGUUUGGUAAUGAUUAUUGAGAGUAAAGUUACAAUUUCUGGUGUGCAAGAUUGCUUUCCCUGACAUGAAUACAUUGUGUCAUUGUUAUGAAUGUAUCCAUCCAUUGGGGGUGGAUUUUAUCACAGACUUGACAUAGACUUCUACUUAACAUGAUACUCAGUAGCCUCCUUAAACAUCAGGACUAAAGGAAUAACCUUACAUUUUAGAUUACAUUAUUGAAAUCCAAUAACCAAUUUGUUGAUAAAUAAACAUCCUUAAAAUUUUAGGUCUUUUGUUCAGUAAUGGCUACAGUAAUAAAAAUGUGCCAAACUGUCAUUUUAAAGCCAUUAUUUCUCAAAAAGAAUGGUUUAUGCUUUAGCUGCCAUUUUAAUUAAGCUUGUUAAAAAUGAAAUGGCCUAAGGAUGAACUCUGUAAACUCCACGUGGGCAGGGCCACUGUUGUAUCAUGCCUUCGCCAGUGUGGUGAUGAGACCAGGACCUGGCAGAUGUGCUUGGUGGACCUAAUGAACAACCGCCUGAAGAAUGACGUGAAAGGGGAGGAGAUUGCCACCACUACCAUUGGCUGCUAAUUCAAAACUACUGUGAUGGUGUAGAGCUUAUUUUAGAUAUAUCUGUGAUUCAUUAUUCUUUUGUCACACUUCAGCUUGCCAAUUCUGUAACUCCUUGGGAUAUCUUGCUGAGCUUAAUUGCAGCUGCCACUCAUGAUCUGGAUCAUCCAGGUGUUAAUCAACCUUUCCUUAUUAAAACUAACCAUUACUUGGCAACUUUAUAUAAGAAUACCUCAGUACUGGAAAAUCACCACUGGAGAUCUGCAGUGGGCUUAUUGAGAGAAUCAGGCUUAUUCUCACAUCUGCCAUUAGAAAGCAGG